UCUUCCCUCUGGCGGCGUGCCUAAUACAUGCAAGUCGAGCGAACAGACGAGGAGCUUGCUCCUCUGACGUUAGCGGCGGACGGGUGAGUAACACGUGGAUAACCUACCUAUAAGACUGGGAUAACUUCGGGAAACCGGAGCUAAUACCGGAUAAUAUAUUGAACCGCAUGGUUCAAUAGUGAAAGACGGUUUUGCUGUCACUUAUAGAUGGAUCCGCGCCGCAUUAGCUAGUUGGUAAGGUAACGGCUUACCAAGGCAACGAUGCGUAGCCGACCUGAGAGGGUGAGCGGCCACACUGGAACUGAGAAACGGUCCAGACUCCUACGGGAGGCAGCAGUAGGGAAUCUUCCGCAAUGGGCGAAAGCUUGACGGAGCAACGUCGCGUGAGUGAUGAAGGUCUUCGGAUCGUAAAACUCUGUUAUUAGGGAAGAACAAAUGUGUAAGUAACUAUGCACGUCUUGACGGUACCUAAUCAGAAAGCCACGGCUAACUACGUG
rnacentral:rRNA from 1 species